rnacentral:tRNA from 1 species
UCCCUGGUGGUCCAGUGGCUCAAACUCUGCACUCCUAAUGCAGAGGCCAGGAUUCCAUCUCUGGCUGGGGAG